CGUCCCUCUACCGAUUGAUGGCUCAGUGAGGCGUCCGGACUGGCCCAGAGAGGUGGGCAACUACCACUCAGGGCCGGAAAGCUCUCCAAACUCGGUCAUUUAGAGGAAGUAAAAGUCGUAACAAGGUCUCCGUUGGUGAACCAGCGGAGGGAUCAUUACCGAGUUUACAACUCCCAAACCCCUGUGAACAUACCUAUACGUUGCCUCGGCGGAUCAGCCCGCGCCCCGUAAAAAGGGACGGCCCGCCCGAGGACCCCUAAACUCUGUUUUUAGUGGAACUUCUGAGUAAAACAAACAAAUAAAUCAAAACUUUCAACAACGGAUCUCUUGGUUCUGGCAUCGAUGAAGAACGCAGCAAAAUGCGAUAAGUAAUGUGAAUUGCAGAAUUCAGUGAAUCAUCGAAUCUUUGAACGCACAUUGCGCCCGCCAGUAUUCUGGCGGGCAUGCCUGUUCGAGCGUCAUUUCAACCCUCAAGCUCAGCUUGGUGUUGGGACUCGCGGUAACCCGCGUUCCCCAAAUCGAUUGGCGGUCACGUCGAGCUUCCAUAGCGUAGUAAUCAUACACCUCGUUACUGGUAAUCGUCGCGGCCACGCCGUAAAACCCCAACUUCUGAAUGUUGACCUCGGAUCAGGUAGGAAUACCCGCUGAACUUAAGCAUAUCAAUAAGCGGAGGAAAAGAAACCAACAGGGAUUGCCCUAGUAACGGCGAGUGAAGCGGCAACAGCUCAAUUUGAAAUCUGGCUCUCGGGCCCGAGUUGUAAUUUGUAGAGGAUGCUUUUGAUGCGGUGCCUUCCGAGUUCCCUGGAACGGGACGCCAUAGAGGGUGAGAGCCCGUCUGGUUGGAUGCCAAAUCUCUGUAAAGCUCCUUCGACGAGUCGAGUGUUUUGGGAUGCAAAUC
rnacentral:rRNA from 1 species